rnacentral:rRNA from 1 species
UAGAGUUUGAUCCUGGCUCAGAUUGAACGCUGGCGGCAGGCCUAACACAUGCAAGUCGAGCGGCAGCACAGGGGAACUUGUUCCCUGGGUGGCGAGCGGCGGACGGGUGAGUAAUGGCCGGGAACCUGCCCUGAUGUGGGGGAUAACAGUUGGAAACGACUGCUAAUACCGCAUGAUGUCUACGGACCAAAGAGGAGGACCUUCGGGCUUCUCGCGUCAGGAUGGGCCCAGUUGGGAUUAGCUAGUUGGUAGGGUAAUGGCCUACCAAGGCGACGAUCCCUAGCUGGUUUGAGAGGAUGAUCAGCCACACUGGAACUGAGACACGGUCCAGACUCCUACGGGAGGCAGCAGUGGGGAAUAUUGCACAAUGGGCGCAAGCCUGAUGCAGCCAUGCCGCGUGUGUGAAGAAGGCCUUCGGGUUGUAAAGCACUUUCAGCAGUGAGGAAGGUGGUGUAGUUAAUACCUGCAUCAUUUGACGUUAGCUGCAGAAGAAGCACCGGCUAACUCCGUGCCAGCAGCCGCGGUAAUACGGAGGGUGCGAGCGUUAAUCGGAAUUACUGGGCGUAAAGCGCAUGCAGGCGGUCUGUUAAGCCAGAUGUGAAAGCCCCCGGCUUAACCUGGGAACCGCAUUUUGAACUG